AUUGAACGCUGGCGGCAGGCCUAACACAUGCAAGUCGAACGAGUGGCGGACGGGUGAGUAAUGUCUGGGAAACUGCCUGAUGGAGGGGGAUAACUACUGGAAACGGUAGCUAAUACCGCAUACCAUCAGAUGUGCCCAGAUGGGAUUAGCUAGUUGGUGGGGUAACGGCUAACCAAGGCGACGAUCCCUAGCUGGUCUGAGAGGAUGACCAGCAAAACUGGAACUGAGAAACGGUCCAGACUACUACGGGAGGCAGCAGUGGGGAAUAUUGCACAAUGGGCGCAAGCCUGAUGCAGCAAUGACGCGGGUAUGAAGAAGGCCUUCGGGGUGUAAAGGACUUUCAGCGGGGAGGCGUUACCCGCAGAAGAAGCACCGGCUAACUCCGUGCCAGCAGCCGCGGUAAUAC
rnacentral:rRNA from 1 species